GUAAGACGGUCACGGUGCGUUAUAUAGGAAGGGGCUUGGAGUGCCCAGACCUAUCUACAAGACCGUGCUCGGAGGUGAAGAGCUGUCUCUUUUUACUAAUUUCUGCGCAUGCGUGGGA
rnacentral:lncRNA from 1 species